UUCUAUAAUGCUCCAGCAUUAGCAUGAAUUAUAGGAACCCUGUAACUUAAGGUGGCGGAUGAUCUCAUUGCUGCCCACUGAGUGGCAGGUCCAGCUUUGGUAUUAGCCCUUGCUUCUCUGCCAACCACCCCCCAUGUCACAGCCAGGCUGCAGAAGCCUUGAAGGUUAACUGCUUUCAAUAACACAGUCUCCAUUCA